UACGGGGGGGGCAAGCGUUGUUCGGAAUUACUGGGCGUAAAGGGCUCGUAGGCGGCCAACUAAGUCAGACGUGAAAUCCCUCGGCUUAACCGGGGAACUGCGUCUGAUACUGGAUGGCUUGAGGUUGGGAGAGGGAUGCGGAAUUCCAGGUGUAGCGGUGAAAUGCGUAGAUAUCUGGAGGAACACCGGUGGCGAAGGCGGCGUCCUGGACCAACACUGACACUGAUGAGCGAAAGCCAGGGGAGCAAACGGG
rnacentral:rRNA from 1 species